CCCAGACUCCUACGGGAGGCAGCAGUGGGGAAUAUUGCACAAUGGGGGGAACCCUGAUGCAGCGACGCCGCGUGGGCGAGGAAGUAUUUCGGUAUGUAAAGCCCUAUCGGCAGGGAAGAAGAAAUGACGGUACCUGACUAAGAAGCCCCGGCUAACUACGUGCCAGCAGCCGCGGUAAUACGUAGGGGGCAAGCGUUAUCCGGAUUCACUGGGUGUAAAGGGAGCGUAGACGGCCAGGCAAGCCUGGAGUGAGAGCCCGGGGCGCAACCCCGGGACUGCUCUGGGAACUGUCCGGCUGGAGUGCGGGAGGGGGAGGCGGAAUUCCUGGUGUAGCGGUGAAAUGCGUAGAUAUCAGGAGGAACACCGGUGGCGAAGGCGGCCUGCUGGACUGCAACUGACGUCGAGGCCCGAAAGCGUGGGGAGCAAACAGGAUUAGAGACCCCGGUAGAU
rnacentral:rRNA from 1 species